GACGAACGCUGGCGGCGUGCUUAACACAUGCAAGUCGAACGGAAAGGCCCUGCUUUUGUGGGGUUCUCGAGUGGCGAACGGGUGAGUAACACGUGAGUAACCUGCCCUUGACUUUGGGAUAACUUCAGGAGACUGGGGCUAAUACCGCAGAGGAGCUCCUGCUGCGUGGUGUGGGUUGGAAAGUUUCGGCGGUUGGGGAUGGCCUCGCGGGUUAUGCGCUUGCUGGUCGGGUAGGGGCUUACCAAGGUUUUGACGGGUAGCCGGCCUUUGCGGGGGAACGGCGACAUUGGGACUGAGAUACGGCCCAGACUCCUACGGGAGGCAGCAGUGGGGAAUAUUGCACAAUAGGCGGAAGCCUGAUACAGCAACGCCGCGUGCGGAAUGACGGCCUUCGGGUUGUAAACAGCUUUCGCCUGUGACGAAGCGUGAGUGACGGUAAUGGGUAAAGAAGCACCGGCUAACUACGUG
rnacentral:rRNA from 1 species